GCUCAAGCGCCCGCAGUUCUUCACCAUCCCUCGUCGGAUUGGCAGCAAUUUUCAGCGAGAGAUGAAAAGCCUCCGUCUCGCAUCUGUGUGAUUUUCCACUGGGGAAGAGAGCGAGCUGAACGUGCAAGUCGCCAAAAUGCAUUUAUCACUGGUGUUGCUCUGAUAAAUACCAUCCAUCAAUCGCGGUGCGCGCGGUGUGUGUGAAAAUUAAAUUUCGUGAAAAGAGCGAAUCUCGCGUGCGAAGCUUUUCCUCGUGUGUGAGUUGAGUGAGAGAGAGUGUGUGGCGAGGAAAAAGGGAGCGUGGUGGAAAUCUGCUUGCAUCUCAGGGCGCGUUCGUGAAGUUGAGUUCCACGGAGUCCCGGCGGACGGAUGAAAAUGGAGAAAAACCUGGAAAAGCGUGUCUACAUGCUGGUGCUGACAGGAGGACCGUGCGGAGGAAAAACCACGGGACAGGCGCGCCUGAGCACAUUUUUCGAGAAUCUGGGAUGGAAGGUGUUCCGAGUGCCUGAAGCCGCAUCAAUUUUGCUGAGUGGUGGUGUGAAGUUUUCCGAGUUGACUCGAGAUGAAGCCCUGCAAUUCCAGGAGAAUCUCGUGAAGACAAUGCUCCAGCUCGAGAACACAUACUAUGAACUGGCGAAGGGACACAUUCUGAAGCAGAAUGCUCGAGGAUGUCUCAUUAUAUGUGAUCGUGGCAUAAUGGAUGCGGGUGCAUAUAUACCAAAAGAGGAUUGGGAGAAGCUUCUCACGGCCAAUGCUUGGAACACGGUUGAAUUGCGGGACAAUCGCUAUAACCAAAUUGUUCACAUGGUGUCUGCUGCGAAUGGUGCUGAAGAUUUCUACAGUGUCGAGGGUCACAAUUGCCGAUCUGAAGAUGUGGAUCUGGCCCGUGAACUUGACUACAAGGCGGCCGCCGCGUGGGUUGGUCAUCCCUAUUUCGAUGUGAUUGACAAUUCAACGGACUUUGAGACGAAAAUAAAGCGUAUGAUCAGCAGUGUUUGCCAGAAGGUUGGCAUCGACACCGGCGAUCGUUUGUUGACCACGUCGAAGAAGCUGAAAUUUCACGUUCUUGGGCCUCUGCCACCGGAUUCGGCGUUCCCGGCGUUUCAGGACUUCGAGGUGGAGCAUCACUAUUUGCAGUCGACGAGCGGCCGCGUGCAGGCGCGGCUGAGGAAGCGCGGCCAGAAGGGACACUGGAGCUACAUUCACACCAUCAGGAAGCCGCAUCCCAAUGGCCAGUACGUGGAGGUGAAGACUCAGAUGACGGCCAGGGACUAUAACAACCUGCUGAACCAGGUCGAUGAUGCCCACUUCAACAUCAUGAAGACAAGACGGUGCUUUCUCGUGAACAAUCAGUACUUCCAGCUGGACAUCUACAAGGAGCCGUGUCACUCCAGAUGCGUUGGCUUGAUGCUCCUCGAGACGUACACGUCGCUCGAGGGCAAGGCACUUGAGGAUUGCCUGCCGAAAUUCCUCAACAUCAACAAGGAAGUGACCGGCGAUCCCAAUUACUCCAUGUUCAAUUUGUCCCUGCGCGAAGAGUGGGAUAGGACGCAGAAAUUCUGUCGCUCCUUGCAUGGUAAAAAGAACAUGAAUGAUGUGUGCAGUGCAAAUGCCCGUGAAAAUGAUGAUGCAUGCAAUGAAUGUCAGCAUCAAGGCAAAUAACUUCCAAAAAAAGAAAGAAAAACCAAUGCAUUGUUCAAAAAAAAAAACACUGUCCCAAAGAAGAUGAUGGCGAAGUACAUAAGAAAAUUAAUGGCUGUUCUAAUCCAUACAUGAAUGGAAAUAAGACUGGGGCCAUUUAACAUUUGAGGAAGAAGAGUUUGAAAUAUUAUUUGAUUUUCUCCAAACAUUAACUAUAAAUUUUUAGUUCAAUCUUUUUAGCACUUAUUAUUUAAUCAAAUUGAUUUUUUACUGUUGUUUUUGUGCAUAAAUUGCGCUCGAGCAAUGGUCAAAGGUCAACUGCUUCUUACCUCAUUUCACAACAUAUAUUGUUUUUAAGGAUAAAUUGAAAAGAUUACUAUGAUAAAAAAUGCGGAGAAUGAAUUUUAUUGAAAUUCUCGAAUUGAUUUGAAAUGGAUUAAAAUGAAAAAAUAGUUUUACGCUGCAAAAUGAGUGAUUCAAGUACAUUUUGUGCCCCAAAAUAGUGUUAAUGUUACUGACGAGUUGCCACCAAAUUGAGUACUUACAACAUGUAUGAUUUUAUUCACUAUAAAUAAAAAAAUGAAGGAUGAAAUACAAGAAAA